GAUGAACGCUGGCGGCGUGCCUAAUACAUGCAAGUCGAGCGAACGGACGAGAAGCUUGCUUCUCUGAUGUUAGCGGCGGACGGGUGAGUAACACGUGGAUAACCUACCUAUAAGACUGGGAUAACUUCGGGAAACCGGAGCUAAUACCGGAUGAUAUUUUGAACCUCAUGGUUCAAAAGUGAAAGACGGUCUUGCUGUCACUUAUAGAUGGAUCCGCGCUGCAUUAGCUAGUUGGUAAGGUAACGGCUUACCAAGGCAACGAUGCAUAGCCGACCUGAGAGGGUAAUCGGCAACACUGGAACUGAGACACGUUCCAGACUCCUACGGGAGGCAACAGUAGGGAAUCUUCCGCAAAGGGCGAAAGCCUAACGGAGCAACGCCGCGUGAGUGAUGAAGGUCUUCGGAUCGUAAAACUCUGUUAUUAGGGAAGAACAUAUGUGUAAGUAACUGUGCACAUCUUGACGGUACCUAAUCAGAAAGCCACGGCUAACUACGUG
rnacentral:rRNA from 1 species